rnacentral:rRNA from 1 species
CUACGGGUCGCUCCAGUGGGGAAUAUUGCACAAUGGGCGAAAGCCUGAUGCAGCAACGCCGCGUGAGGGACGACGGCCUUCGGGUUGUAAACCUCUUUUAGCAGGGAAGAAGCGAAAGUGACGGUACCUGCAGAAAAAGCACCGGCUAACUACGUGCCAGCAGCCGAGGUAAUACGUAGGGUGCAAGCGUUGUCCGGAAUUAUUGGGCGUAAAGAGCUCGUAGGCGGUUUGUCGCGUCUGCUGUGAAAAUCCGAGGCUCAACCUCGGACCUGCAGUGGGUACGGGCAAACUAGAGUGCGGUAGGGGAGAUUGGAAUUCCUGGUGUAGCGGUGGAAUGCGCAGAUAUCAGGAGGAACACCAAUGGCGAAGGCAGAUCUCUGGGCCGUAACUGACGCUGAGGAGCGAAAGCGUGGGGAGCGAACAGGAUUAGAUACCCCUGUAGUC